AAAUUUUUAAAAUAUAUUUCCAUAUCUUGAAAGUUGUAUUGACCCAUCAUUGUCUCUCUCUCUCUGUAUAUAUAUAUACACACACACACACACGCACAUAUAUACACGUAUAUAUACAUACAUAUACAUACACAAAUAUAUACAUAUAUAUACACACAUACAUAUAUAUGUUUUUUAAGAUAUAUAAAUAUAUCUUUAUAUAUAUUUAGUGCUUCAGUGGAAGAACAGAAGCCCCCUAAAAAAAGGCAUCAUUUCACAUCUUUGACUACUAAAUUCUGUUUUGUUUCUUAUCAGAAGAAGAGCAAUCUUGUCAGAUUACUUAAAAGAAAAGUUCGAGCUUGCAGUGAGCUAUGAUCUCACCAUUGAACUUCAGCCUGGAAAACAGAGCAAGACCCUGUCUCUAAAUAAAUAAAUAAAUAAUUAAUAAAGCAUAUGGGUCACUCACCAUGAUCUUCUUCUUAACCCCCACCCAAAGCCCUUCAGGCUGAAUAUGGUGUGAGGUUGCUUUGGGAACCCUGGAGCUACUGACAAACUUCCUCAUAGCCAUGGGCACACUCAGUAUUUUCAGUCAACCUCCAUUCCCAUUGGUCUGUGCUUGUAUAUCACUUUCGCCAAGAAAUAUUAGGAAUAAUCUGGACUCCUUGGGAAAUCCACACAUGGGCUAGACAGAGGGGUUUCAGAGAACUAGAACAGCUUCACCGAAGCAGUACUCAGGAAUCCCACUGCCCUCUUUGUGUCAUGUCAGGGAUCCCAAAUGGUGGCAGAGGCGCUGGGAGAGGUGGACUAGAAGGACCUGGGCCAGAAUAAAGAUACUGUGUUGGAAAGGACUUUGAGACCCAUGGAAAAGGGACAAGUUCAUUGGCUUCGGUAGAGACUGCCUGUUUUUCAUGGCACACUUGCCAACCCCUGACAUACCUCAUAGUCAACCAGCCCAGUAAAGAGAGUAAGAGAAGAUCUUGAGUUUAAAAGGUCACAGAAGAUACAGGGGAUACCACAGGGCAUAGAAGAUAAGAGAAGGAAACUACUGCUAUGAGGUCACUAAAGCCACACCUUUCUCCUAUACCCAGAUGCAAUUUGAAAGGGAGAAUAAACAGAGAAGAACUUUGAAUAAUCAAACACUGACCCAACUGCACCCAGCAGAGGUUGGUUAGUUAAAGAAAUGUCUUAAAUUAUUGCCUCAGAUUAGCACUAAAUUACUGGCAUGAGCUAAAAUUUAGUCGCUUCUGCCACCAGCUCCCCAUUAGUCAGGAGUUCAUGAGAAAGAACAGAUAAAUUAUAGAGAAAUAAAGCAGCUAUCUGUUCCUUGUGCACUGAGCAUCAUACAAAUGAUGUGUAGCCCAACUGCCCAAGUUUUUUCCUCACUAAUAUUUUAUACAGAAGUUUGCAGCUUCAACUAGUGCUUCCUGAACAAAAAAUAUAACAUCUUAGGCUCCCAUUUGUCUCUGAUCUGAGAAAUUAUUUAAUCAUGCAUGUAUAUAAGAUAAAUUAAUAAAGAAAUACCCUAACAUAGGUAAAUGAUACUUUUCUGAGGGACAGAGAUUGUAUUCAGAGUUUCCUAGUACCUUUUCACCAAAUACACACACACACACACAUACACACGUGCAGUAUCCAGAAAAGUUUUUGGUACAUAGUAGGCAUUUCAUUGCUAUUUGAUCAAUUGUGUUGGGUGACUACACAUUGGCCUACAACGAACAUUUAUGCAUAUUGGGCAAAAGCUUUUAGAGACUUGCUUGGCAAUGAAGGCGUAUGAACACUGUAGUUCUCUGAGUUUUUGGGAAUUACUUAGAUGUCCUAAGUCUGGUAAGAAAUUUUCAGGGAUAUGAUUAGAAACAAGAUCUUGAUAUUUUGUUCUUACACAAACAAGAGUGAUUCAAUAGCCCUUGGCAUAAAUAUCUAGGUUUUAUUAUGGGACACUUUCUUUUGGUUCAUUCUUUUGAAAGACUGGUUUAAAAUAAUGCUCAAUGUCUGCCUCUGUCUUUGCUGGUGAUAAUUACCUUAUAUUCUUUUAGCAUGUGGGUUAUAAUUUACAAAACUCCUUUCUACUAUAGAAUAAAAUGAUUGGACUUGGUAUCUGUUCCCCAAUCCAAGCCUCAGUGACAAUUUCUAAGCUACAUAAAUAUUUACCAGGACUCUAGAAGCAUAAAGAAAAGAUAGAGCAAAGGAGAAAUGAGCUAGAGAACUCUAGAGCCAAAGGCAGAAGAGUUGACAAUGAAAGAUAAAAGUUAAAAUGUAUGAAGAUUUGAUUGUGUUAGAAGAUGUGCCAAACACUAUUAUUUAUGUAUAGGGCAAUCAACAGGUUUUCAAAAACGCAGGCUCAUCAUUGGAAAAUAGGUGCCAAGUAUUAUUUCCUAGAUUGCAUCUUUUGGCAAACAGGAGAGUGAGUCACUGAUGGAUGGCAGCAUUCAUAUGGCCUUCCCAGGCUUGGAGGGUUCUGGGGCCCUGGGCUGCAAAAGGCAAAGAAUGUACUGGAGGUGAGUGUGCCAGUUUAAUGGGACAAAAGCAAAGCAUUAAACAUUCCAAGGCAAAGAAAGGAGAAAACAAUGACCAGUUCUAAGACUAUAAGAAAGACUCUUGCUAUCUUCAUGUCUUCAUGUUGUUUCCAUGUUUGUUCUUUUUUUUGGGGGCGGGGGGGCUUUCCUCCUAAUUAUGAAUCCUUUACAAUUAAAAGGUGCAGUGGAUCUGGUUUUAGUGGCAAUAUAAGAUGGGAGAAAACUGGUUAGUUUGUGCCUCACUCCAUAGAAGAUGUGGCUUGAGUAAAACCCUAGGGAUAAAGUGGCAGUAGUUACUAGCAAAAGAUAAGUACAUGACAAGGUCCUUCAUCCCAGGGUCUAAGAGAACAAAAGUGAAGUCUAAGAGGGUUUGAGAAACAGCUUUGGCCUCAAGCAAUAAAAGGUCCCACAAGUACAAUAUCCUGAAAGGCUAAUUUCCAGUUCAGCAUCUAAAAAAUGAUAAUCCCUAAAUUCUCUUUUAGCUGUAUCUUUAACACUAUGUAAAAUGUCUUUUUCUUGUCUGAGAAUUUGUAAUCCCAUUGUUCUUUCAGUGGAGUCAAACUCAUAGGUAAAUGUUAAGCUACAGGGCCCAUGUCUGAGUGAUUCAUUUCUGAAUUCUCAGAGUUUAGCAAGUACCAGAGGCAUUGUGAAUAAAUAAGAAUAAAUGAUUGAAUAUCGAAUGAUAACUAUUGUCAGGCCUCUGAGCCCAAGCGAAGCUGUCAUAUCCCCUGUGACCUGCACGUACACAUCCAGAUGGCCUUAACUGAUGACAUUCCACCACAAAAGAAGU
rnacentral:lncRNA from 1 species